rnacentral:tRNA from 1 species
AGAGUUGUAAUUUAAAAAAAUAUUUACUUUGCAUGUAAAAUUUACCUCAAAAUGAGGUCUUCUUUG